rnacentral:tRNA from 1 species
CAGGUUGUAGUUUAUAUAAAAUUCUUGCUUUGGGAGUAUGAGAAGUCAAAUUGGCUAACCUGA